UGAAACAAUGGACAAACUUGAAAACUGAGGGACUGGCGAAAAGGUUACUCUUACUGCAAUGAAGGAAACAAAGAAAGCUAAUCGCGGGCUGAAAGCAAGAUGGCCAGAGCUGGAGGAACGAGUCCACAGGUGGGUGCUUGAACAACAUGCUGACGGAAGAUGCUUGU